rnacentral:rRNA from 1 species
GACAGAGGGUGCAAACGUUGCUCGGAAUUACUGGGCGUAAAGCGCGUGUAGGUGGUCACGCAAGUCAGGUGUGAAAGCCCAGGGCUCAACCCUGGAAGUGCACAUGGUACUACGUGGCUGGAGUACUGAAGAGGAGAGCGGAAUUCCCGGUGUAGAGGUGAAAUUCGUAGAUAUCGGGAGGAACACCAGUGGCGAAGGCGGCUCUCUGGGCAGAUACUGACACUGAGACGCGAAAGCGUGGGUAGCAAACAGG